rnacentral:rRNA from 1 species
GAUAAACGCUGGCGGCGUGCCUAAUGCAUGCAAGUCGAACGGGUCGCAGCUUCGGCUGUGGUCAGUGGCGGACGGGUGAGGAACACGUACGCAACCUGCCCUCUGGUGGGGAAUAACCCUUCGAAAGAGGGGCUAAUGCCGCAUCCGCUCACCUGGGUAAGGCUGGGUGAGGAAAGCCCGUGAGGGCGCUGGAGGAGGGGCGUGCGGCCGAUUAGCUAGUUGGUGGGGUAACGGCCUCCCAAGGCGGUGAUCGGUAGCUGGUCUGAGAGGAUGAUCAGCCACACUGGGACUGAGAGACGGCCCAGACUCCUACGGGAGGCAGCAGCAGGGGAUCUUGCGCAAUGGGCGAAAGCCUGACGCAGCAA